AGGGAUGAUUUGGGUAACAUCUGAAACGCAGUCGCCCAUCAGCAAGCAACCGGGGUCCCGGGACGUGGCGGCGGCCUCUGUGGUCUCGGUGUUGCUGAUGGCGACCGAGAGGAACCGGUGGGAGCGCCUCCCGAGCCCGCUGCUGCCGCCGAGAUCCAAACAGCAAUCCUGGCACUUGACUACCGUAUGGAAACAACUUGUUAUGACUGCAUUGUGGAAAUGGUGUUCAAAAUGAAACGCACACAUACAAGCUGAAAUAGCACUUAUAGCUGUUGGUAUUGCAGGGAGAGCAUUCAAUAUGUUAAAUACAAGAUAUCUUUGUUGGGUUGCUUUCUGCCUUAAUGUCAAUCAAUAUGUUGGAAGUUAUCAAGAAGUUCAAAUUCUGAUGAAGAAGGAAGAAUUGACCUAUGAAACAGUCAAUAUUUUAUAAUAUUUUUGAAAAGGGAAUUGGCAGUGGAGGUUGAUUUGGGAGGAAAGCUGUGGCCAUAAACAUUGAAGAAGACGAGCAGAUUCUUCAUGACAUUGAGACUUUCUACAGCACCACAGUGGAGGAAAUGCCAAUGAAUGUGGCUCACAGCACUCGCUCUUGUGGACUAGGUGAUAACAACGUGCUUUGUGCUUUUUUCUUUGGGAAUAUUUGAAGCUUGUCUCAAAGCUCAUAACAGAUCGGAAAUACAGAUUUGGAUAGUAAUGCUAC